rnacentral:rRNA from 1 species
UACGUAGGGCGCAAGCGUUGUCCGGAAUUAUUGGGCGUAAAGAGCUCGUAGGCGGUCUGUCACGUCUGCUGUGAAAACCCGGGGCUUAACCCCGGGCUUGCAGUGGAUACGGGCAGACUAGAGGCAGGUAGGGGAGAAUGGAAUUCCCGGUGUAGCGGUGAAAUGCGCAGAUAUCGGGAGGAACACCGGUGGCGAAGGCGGUUCUCUGGGCCUGACCUGACGCUGAGGAGCGAAAGCGUGGGGAGCGAACAG